UAUGAAAAGAGGCAGCAGGUCGGAUUUGGCAACCCCUGCUCUAAGUGAUUCUCAUGCUCAGGUGAGGGUGGGCAUCUUUGUGAUGCAAUAUGGCCAGAGGCUUUAUUUUUAUGUUUAUUUAACAAACACCCAAGUCUCACAGUGACAUCAAUUAAUAUCCUAAAUGCUGUACAGAUAUUAACUCAUUCAAUCAUCAGAACAUCCCCAUUUUACAUAUGAGGAAACUGAGGCAUAAGGCGCUAGUAAGUGGUGGCGGUGGGAUUUUAUUUGAAGCCAGCAGUCUGGCUUGUGAGUGUUCUGUUGGUGCGUCCACUAUGCUGCCUUUGAGGGACAGUGUCCCAGAGGAGAUACCUGUGCUCAGGAGCAGGAUUGUACAAGGAGUGGAGAGGAGGUGGGUCCGGGCAGGAGUGGAGGGAGCAAGGUCACCACCUUGUUGUGAAAGUUCAUGGAAUAGGCUGGGUGCAGUGGCUCACGCCUUUAAUCCCAGCACUUUGGGAGGCCACGGCAGAUGGAACACCUGAGGUCAGGAGUUCGAGACCAGCCUGGCCAACGUGGUGGAACCUCGUCUCUACUAAAAAUACAAAAAUUAGCUGGGUGUGGUGGUGUGCGCCUGUAAUUCCAGCUACUCCAGAGGCUGAAGCAGGAGAAUUGCUUGAACCCAGGAGGAGGAGGUUGCAGUGAGCCGAGAUGGCACCACUGCACUCCAGCCUGGGUGACAGAGCCAGACUCACUGAAAAAAAAAAAGUCAUGGAAUAGACCGGGAUAGCAGGGAGCUAUGUGUGCUGAAGGGAGACAAGGGAGUAGGGAAGGAAAGGCAGUCAAGGCUGAAGAGCCUGACUAGGAGGCUUGGUCUUCAGCCACUCAGCAAUGAGGAAAAAUAGGGGCAUUUGGGGCAGAGAAGUGACAUGACUGAGCUGGACUCCCCACUUGUGGAGUUAGGGUCCAUACUUCAUCCCUCUGCACACUCCCCUCUCUGACACAUACACCGACCCACACGUUUUAUCUCAGGCAGGUGGGAGCCAAAAUUUCUCUGAUGUCUCCUGAUCAGCUUCGGAACAAGUUUCCCUGGAUAAACACAGAGGGAGUGGCUUUGGCAUCUUACGGUGAGGCUUGCUUGCAGAGGGGACAGCUUUUUUCCUGAAGAUGGAGACUAAGGGGUGCUACACGUUGGGAGUCUCGGUACCCCACAGCCAAGCUGAAGGAGGAACACUUCCCUCCUGUGUCACAGGAACGGCCCUGGGCCAUGCUAGUUCUCUGGCCUUCAGCAGGCUUUGUCUGUGUGGUUGAGUUGGUCAAGAUGACCUUCCCCAGCUUACAAGCCCUAGAGAGGGCUUGGGGGACACAGGAAAUACAAUCCAAGAGCAGAAGUCCUCAUCCCUCUUUGUGAGUUCUCUUUUUCUUAUCACAGGGAUGGAGGACGAAGGUUGGUUUGACCCCUGGUGUCUGCUCCAGGGCCUUCGGCGAAAGGUCCAGUCCUUGGGAGUCCUUUUCUGCCAGGGAGAGGUGACACGUGAGUCUGAGCUUGUUUCCUCUAGCAACUGGGGCAUAGGCCUAGACUAGGUCUUAUCUUCUCACUCACAAGCUAAGCAAGGGCUGGAGGGGGAAAGGGGUCUCCCCGAGAGCAGGUCCUAGGCAUCUUGACCCGGGCUCCUCACUGAGCUGCGUUGUGACUUGUGAUCUGCUUGAUGAUUGCACCUCAGCACUGUCCUGUCAGAGUGUGGCCAAGCUAAUGCCAGCUCCCUCAUCUCCGUUUGCUUCAGUGUCUGUAGGAAAGCUCCCAUCCUUCCAGCUUUCUUUCCUUAAGAAACCAGUGAAAUCCCCAUUUCAUUCCUCUUCAGCGCCUCCACAGCCUAUUCAUUUUCUUCUCUGCAGGUUUUGUCUCUUCAUCUCAACGCAUGUUGACCACAGAUGACAAAGCGGUGGUCUUGAAAAGGAUCCAUAAAGUCCACGUGAAGAUGGACUGCAGCCUGGAGUACCAGCCUGUGGAAUGCGCCAUUGUGGUCAACGCAGCCGGAGCCUGGUCUGCGCAAAUCGCAGCGCUGGCUGGUAUUGGAGAGGGGCCACCUGGCACCCUGCAGGGCACCAAGCUACCUGUGGAGCCGAGGAAAAGGUAUGUGUAUGUAUGGCACUGCCCCCAGGGACCAGGCCUAGAGACUCCGCUUGUUGCAGACACCAGUGGAGCCUAUUUUCGCCGGGAAGGAUUAGGUAGCAACUACCUAGGUGGUCGUAGCCCCACUGAGCAGGAAGAACCGGACCCAGCGAACCUGGAAGUGGACCAUGAUUUCUUCCAGGACAAGGUGUGGCCCCAUUUGGCCCUGAGGAUCCCAGCUUUUGAGACUCUGAAGGUUCAGAGCGCCUGGGCCAGCUAUUACGACUACAACACCUUUGACCAGAAUGGCGUGGUGGGCCCCCACCCGCUAGUUGCCAACAUGUACUUUGCUACUGGCUUCAGUGGUCACGGGCUCCAGCAGGCCCCUGGCGUUGGGCGAGCUGUAGCAGAGAUGAUACUGAAGGGCAGGUUCCAGACCAUCGACCUGAGCCCCUUCCUCUUUACCCGCUUUUACUUGGGAGAGAAGAUCCAAGAGAACAACAUCAUCUGAGCAUGUGUGCUCUGCACUGGCUCCACUGGCUUGCAUCCUGGCUGUGUUCACAGCCUUCUUUGCUGCUUCCAUCUUCCCCAGCACUGUGCCAGGCCUUCUCCCCCUCCCCAGUGUCCUCUCCUCUCAGGCAGGCCAUUGCACCCACAUGGCUGGGCAGGUGCAGGCACUGAGGCCCAGGCCAAUAGCGAGUGAUGAGCGGGAUCCUAGGACUGAUCUGUAGCCCAUAUUGAUGUCACCCACCAGGGCAAUCCAUCUAGAGGCCUGAGCACCCUGGCCCAGGACUGGCUCCAUCCUGGCACUGACCAGGAAAGACUGCCUCUGACCCUCUUAGCAGACAGAGCCCAGGCAUGGGAGCACUCUGGGGCAGCCUGGCUCAGGUUUAUUGAUUUUUGUCUGUUUACCCUAUCCAUUAAUCAAUACAUGUAAUUAACUCCUUC
rnacentral:sRNA from 1 species